AGAGAGAGACAUGCGCGCAUAUCAAUAAGCGGAGGAAAAGAAACUAACUAGGAUUCCCUUAGUAACGGCGAGUGAAGCGGGAAGAGUUCUAAAUUUGAAAUCUUCAAGGUUCUACCUAGACGAAUUGUAGUUUAUAAGAAGUGUUUUCUGUUGGAGUGGCUAAAAGUUCUUUGGAAUAGGACAUCAUAGAGGGUGAGAAUCCCGUAUUUGUACCAUUCUCCUAACUUUGUGAUACACUUUCAACGAGUCGGAUUGUUUGGGAAUGCAGUCCAAAAUGGGUGGUAAACUUCAUCUAAAGCUAAAUACUUGGCGAGAGACCGAUAGCGAACAAGUACCGUGAGCGAAAGAUGAAAAGAACUUUGAAAAGAGAGUUAAACAGUACGUGAAAUUGUCAAAAGGGAAGCGUUUGACACCAGUGUUGUUUUUCCGAAAAUCGAUUACGAAUGUUUUGUUUUUGAGGAGUUAUGACUUCAUCGGCUUGCUCCUUUCUUUAUGAAACUUUCUUAAUGCACUUUUCGGUUAACAAGUCAACAUCAAUUUCUUUUGUUGUAAAAGGGUAUGAGGAAGGUGGCUUUCUUUUCGGAGAAAGUGUUUAUAGCCUUGUGCCUCUGCAAUCGGAGAGAUUGAGGUCUGCAGCGUAGAUCCUUCGGGGUUAGAUACGUUUGUGCUAAGUUAUAGCUUUUCAUAGACAACUUGUUGACUAUGUUUAGUCUUGUAGCUUACUCGCUGACGCUAUUUUACCUACGCUUAGGAUGUUGAUAGUCACAGCGUGUAC
rnacentral:rRNA from 1 species